AUUGAACGCUGGCGGCAUGCUUUACACAUGCAAGUCGAACGGUAACAGGCCGCAAGGUGCUGACGAGUGGCGAACGGGUGAGUAAUGCAUCGGAACGUGCCCAGUCGUGGGGGAUAACUACUCGAAAGAGUAGCUAAUACCGCAUACGAUCCAUGGAUGAAAGCGGGGGACCGUAAGGCCUCGCGCGAUUGGAGCGGCCGAUGUCAGAUUAGGUAGUUGGUGGGGUAAAGGCUCACCAAGCCAACGAUCUGUAGCUGGUCUGAGAGGACAACCAGCCACACUGGGACUGAGACACGGCCCAGACUCCUACGGGAGGCAGCAGUGGGGAAUUUUGGACAAUGGGCGCAAGCCUGAUCCAGCAAUGCCGCGUGCAGGAAGAAGGCCUUCGGGUUGUAAACUGCUUUUGUACGGAACGAAACGGCUCUGGUUAAUACCCGGGGCUAAUGACGGUACCGUAAGAAUAAGCACCGGCUAACUACGUG
rnacentral:rRNA from 1 species